GUCACAUAUUUGUUCACCCUUCCAUUGACUGUAUACUUAUUAAACAAACAAAAUAUAUGUACAUGUGAUUCCCAUACCAUGUGAUUUUACUGAGAUUUUAAAAGAAACGGGGGAAAAACCAAAUUUUUCCAGCCCAUGGCUUGGAAACGAGGAGUUUUGCUUUACCUCAUGUGAAAUGGCUGUUUCGUGUGAGCCGUGAAAUACCAUAACAUCAAACUUGUUCGGGGACAAAAAAAAUAAUUAAUUCGAAAAUUGGUGCAUAGCAUACGGUCGUCACACAGUAUCUGUGGGGCGCGUGUGCAAAGACCGGUGAUAGGAGAGCAGUGCUAAUGCAGGUUGUUGUGUUGCCCAGGGCCCCCCUAGGGUCCAGGGUAUGGACUUCCAGACUUGUAGAAAAAGGCCAGCUUACAGUCAGAAGUAAACAGGGCUUAUGCUACGAGCUGACUGGACAAUUCAACAAAAAAAAGGCAAUAUUGUUUUAUUUGUUUCAGAUUAUCACAGGAUGUUAUUACAAUAACAAUAAUUACAAUGUGAAAUACUAAACUACAAAUUAUUAUGAUAAUAAAUAUAUAGU
rnacentral:misc_RNA from 1 species